GCACAUAUACCCUCCAUAAAGCCUUGCACUUGGGUCUGGCCGGUUAGAACAUAGACAAAAGUCUGCAAUGUCAAUGCUGUCAAAGUCAUUGACGCAAAACUAUUUUCAUUUUCAAAACUAUCAGUUUUCAUAUAAAAUGAUUAAAUAACGAUUUAUGUUGUUGAAAUAGAUUUAUUGAUUAAUUUUUAAAAUUAAAAAUCCACCGCACAAUAUCUCCGCUCAGACUCGGUUAAAGUUUAAUCCAUUGUACUAAACUAAGAAACAACAAUUAUUUCAAGAGGGUGAACGUGAGCAAAAAAUCCUUGGGCGUCAUAUCAUUUCCUUGGAAAGGCUCAAAAUCAAAAGGCACGGAUCCGCCACAUAAUUGUGACUAGUUGUAGUUUCCCGGUGACCAUCAACAAGACCGCUGCACUGAGCUGUGGAGCAGAAAGUGUCCGACAAUCGGAUAGAUGUAAUAACAACUUUGUCUGUCAUAUAUUCAUGUAAUUUUUAGUUUUUUGGGCUGAUAUAUGUGAUAUGAUUACAAGUUACACUAAUUGCAAUUGUGGAGUAAAAUCAGAUGUGCCAAAGAUCAUGUUUUAGAUAUAUAAAAAUCUAUAUUAAAUGCAAUAAAUAGUAUAUGUAUAUAUAUAAAA